CAUUAUUCAAUUUCUAGUUUUUGUUUAAUUGAAUAAUAAGUUCACUACAGUGUUUAAGUAUAUAAAUUACAAAUCUAAACAGUUCUCCUAAGAUGUAGUUUUUGUGCAAAGUAUUAACAAUGAAUUAAAAUCAUCACAAAAACCAUGUUAAACUCAUGCUAUCUACAACAAUUACAUUUAACGUUCAUUACUUAAUUCAUGUGGUGUACACGUGACAUAAAUAAGAUACAUAUAAACACAAACAUAUAGGACAAGGAUGCAACAUUGUAUCACAACACUUCUUAUAAGCAUUAGUACUUAUUGGGUUAAACAUGAAACAUGAAAUAAUACAGAUUAUAUGAUACUUAUUAUAACAAAUAUAUAACACAGUGAUGCAACAUUUAAAACAC